rnacentral:lncRNA from 1 species
UGGUAACAUUGUAACUGAACAGCUCAUAUUUUUUUCACGAGCAUAUUCUAAAGUGGGGCCACAAUAAAACUGAUAAAUCGAGAAACCUUUCAAAUAUGACAAUUUUAAAGGAUACCUUACUAAUUUAACAGAAAGCCUUAGGAGGAUUUCGAAUUGUAGCGUUUUUCAUGGAUGAGUAUAUGGCAAGCAAUUUAAAAGGGACAGCUAAGGAAAGAUUGCCCACCAUGUAUGUAAUGUACUAAUGCGUGCUUGAAUUUGUACUUUAGACGAGGACAGAUUCUUUUUAUUACCUGAAAAUGGGAAUGUAGGAGAGCAUAUGCUAUCAUCAUGUCACAUAACUGAGUACAAAGCAGAGAGGGGUGAACUUGAAAAAGGCUAAAAGUGAAAGAGAAAUGAAUUCAUCUAUUAUUAAUUUCUUCAAAAAGUUGUAUAGGGAAGGAUAUUCAUUGUGAGACGUUAAUAAAUACUAAAAAGCAAAUAAGCAACAUGUAUUUCCUAAUCAACAUGGAACAGAUCAUUGAUUUCAGAGAGAGAAGUCACCUCCAGAGACAUAAAUAAGGUUUAAAAGAAGAAUUCAACCUUUAACAGUCAUUAACCAGCUAUGUAACUUGUGAUCGUUCACUAUCAACUCAUAGAAAAGAUAGAUGAUUACCAUCUGAGGAUGCUG